rnacentral:rRNA from 1 species
GUAGGUGGCAAGCGUUGUCCGGAAUUAUUGGGCGUAAAGCGCGCGCAGGUGGUUCUUUAAGUCUGAUGUGAAAGACCCCCGGGCUCAACCGGGAGGGUCAUUGGAAACUGGGGAACUUGAGUGCAGGAGAGGAAAGUGGAAUUCCACGUGUAGCGGUGAAAUGCGUAGAUAUGUGGAGGAACACCAGUGGCGAAGGCGACUUUCUGGCCUGUAACUGACACUGAGGCGCGAAAGCGUGGGGAGCAAACAGGAUUAGAUACCCUGGUAGUCCACGCCGUAAACGAUGAGUGCUAAGUGUUGGGGGGUUUCCGCCCCUCAGUGCUGCAGCUAACGCAUUAAGCACUCCGCCUGGGGAGUACGGUCGCAAAGACUG